AUUGAACGCUGGCGGCAGGCUUAACACAUGCAAGUCGAGCGGAGAUGAGGUGCUUGCACCUUAUCUUAGCGGCGGACGGGUGAGUAAUGCUUAGGAAUCUGCCUAUUAGUGGGGGACAACAUUCCGAAAGGAAUGCUAAUACCGCAUACGUCCUACGGGAGAAAGCAGGGGAUCUUCGGACCUUGCGCUACUAGAUGAGCCUAAGUCGGAUGAGCUAGUUGGUGGGGUAAAGGCCUACCAAGGCGACGAUCUGUAGCGGGUCUGAGAGGAUGAUCCGCCACACUGGGACUGAGACACGGCCCAGACUCCUACGGGAGGCAGCAGUGGGGAAUAUUGGACAAUGGGGGAAACCCUGAUCCAGCCAUGCCGCGUGUGUGAAGAAGGCCUUAUGGUUGUAAAGCACUUUAAGCGAGGAGGAGGCUACUGAGACUAAUACUCUUGGAUAGUGGACGUUACUCGCAGAAUAAGCACCGGCUAACUCUGUGCCAGCCGCCGCGGUAAGAC
rnacentral:rRNA from 1 species